rnacentral:lncRNA from 1 species
GCUUGCAGUUGGGUUACUACCAUCCCCCUAACCAUUAGUAUCACACUCUGUGAAGUGUCUCUCUGGUAUUGGGAUAACUUCAAGCCCCUUAGCUCGCUUGUAUCGGGGGGAGCUUACUUCACUUGUUUUCUUUAAGUCACUUGCCAGGAGGGAAAGCGGCAGAUAAAGAGCACCAUCACCUUACUUAACAAAGGGCUUAUGCGAAAGAGAGCACCGCUUCCCCGAGAAGAUAAUCCGCUUUCCUAAAAUCCCUACUUUAUUGCUCUAGCUCUUGACUCAUAUGGCACUGAAAUUGGAUAGGUUCACGCUUAGGCCUGGUUAUGGAAACUCUUAUAAAGAGCACCAUCACUUUACUUAACAAAGGGUGUGAAAGAGAGCACCGCUUCCCCGAGAAGAUAAUCCGCUUUCCUAAAAUCCCUACUUUAUUGCUCUAGCUCUUGACUCAUAUGGCACUGAAAUUGGAUAGGUUCACGCUUAGGCCUGGUUAUGGAAACUCUUUAAGCAUAGUCAAUUUUUCCUUUUCCAUAGGAAACUCCAACUUAAACAGGAACUGGCCUGGAACUAUAUGUAAGGGCACUCUCAUCCACUGGCUGCAAGGAAACAACUGGAUUGGCUUUUCUAACUCUCUUUAAAAGAGAC